AAAAGACAUGAGGACACCUUGGUUCAAAGACGAGACCAGACCAGAGUCUUUGGACCAGGACAUCAUACUCAGUGACUCUCUUUAAAUACAAAGAUAAGUAUAGAUUUAUUCAGUUCUUCAUCAGUGUUUCAAAAUGUUAAAUUUAGGUGUGAAACAUUAUUUUAUCAGGACAAGUUAAAAUGAUAUUCUAUAAACAUUAUUAAAAACUGAUGAUCUAUUUUAUUAGAUUUGAUGUAAUUUCAUCACCAAUCAACAGUUGUAACAUUUAAACUGUAUGGAAUAAGUUGUUGACUUUUAUCCUGCCUUGUCUGUUUGUCUCCAUUGUGUCCAUUAUAUCCAGUAAAGACCAGCAGCCUUAGACGUCCCCCUGAUCUGCUGCACCAGCAUUCAUUCAAAGACAAGCCGUCUUAGAUGUCCCCCUGAACUGCUGCACAAGCAUUCAAUGUAAACCCACAUUUAAAAAAAGAACGUGGAAGAGAAGUCCAGAGACAGAAGGAAAGGAGACAGCAUGCAGUUCCCCCCACCCCCCAAUCUGCACCAGAUCAUGCAUUAUGCUUCUGCUUUUGCAGUCAUAUGAAAUA